CCAGUUUGUAUAAUUACAUUUUUGGACAAAGGAUUCUAUAAUAAAACAUGAAAUGUUUUAUGUUAGAUAGGUAUAGAUAUUAUUAGAUGUUAACUUCAAAUUUAGUUCAUUAUACAUUUUCAUGACCCAUGCAUUAAGAUUAACACGUACCUUUAAGGGAGAUUUUAUUAGUAGUGGUGAGGAGGAGGAGGUGAAGUAUAGGAGUAGUGAUGUUUGGGUGGUGGUGGAGAGUAAACUGGUGGUGGAGGAGAGUGCAUUGGUGGUGGCGGGGACUUGUACUUGUAAACUGGUGUUGGUGGUGGUGGAGAGUGCAUUGGUGGUGGUGGAGACUUGUAUUUGUAGACCGGUGUUGGUGGUGGUGGGGAAUGCUCGGGUGGUGGUGGAGAUUUAUAAACUGGAGUUGGUGGUGGUGGAGACUUGUACUUGUAAUGGUGUACUGGUGCGGGAGAAUGCUUAGGUGGUGGUGGAGACUUGUACUUGUAGACGGGUGUUGGAGGUGGUGGAGAUUUAUACUUGUAGACCGGUGUUGGUGGUGGUGGAGACUUGUACUUAUAGUGAUGUUCUGGUGCGGGAGAAUGCUUAGGUGGUGGUGGAGACUUGUACUUAUAGUGAUGUUCUGGUGCAGGAGAAUGCUUAGGUGGUGGUGGAGAUUUGUACUUAUAAACCGGUGUUGGUGGUGGUGGAGACUUGUACUUAUAAUGAUGCACUGGUGCGGGGGAAUGCUUAGGUGGUGGUGGAGAUUUAUACUUGUAAACCGGUGUUGGUGGUGGUGGAGAAUGUUUUGGCGGAGGUGGAGACUCAAAAUGAUAAGGCGUUGGAGGAGAAUGCAUAGGAGGUGGUGGAGACUUGUACUUGUAAACCGGUGUAGGUGGUGGUGGAGAAUGUUUAGGCGGGGGCGGGGAUUUGUAGUGGUAAGGCGGAGGAGGAGAAUGCUCCGGGGGUGGAGGAGAAUGCUCGGGAG
rnacentral:lncRNA from 1 species